rfam:Alligator mississippiensis ScZkoYb_83, whole genome shotgun sequence.
GCAUUGGCGGUUCAGUGGUAGAAUUCUUGCCUGCCAUACAGGGGGCUUGGGUUUGAUUCUCAGCCAAUACA